rnacentral:rRNA from 1 species
UAGAGUUUGAUCAUGGCUCAGGACGAACGCUGGCGGCGUGCCUAAUACAUGCAAGUCGAACGCGUCCCGGUUGAUGAAGUUGAGUGCUUGCACUUAAUUGAUUCAACUUGGUGACGAGUGGCGAACUGGUGAGUAACACGUGGGUAACCUGCCCCGAAGCGGGGGAUAACAUUUGGAAACAGGUGCUAAUACCGCAUAACAACCAAAACCACCUGGUUUUGGUUUGAAAGACGGCUUCGGCUGUCACUUUGGGAUGGACCCGCGGCGUAUUAGCUAGUUGGUGAGGUAACGGCUCACCAAGGCGAUGAUACGUAGCCGACCUGAGAGGGUGAUCGGCCACAUUGGGACUGAGACACGGCCCAAACUCCUACGGGAGGCAGCAGUAGGGAAUCUUCCACAAUGGACGCAAGUCUGAUGGAGCAACGCCGCGUGAGUGAUGAAGGGUUUCGGCUCGUAAAACUCUGUUGUUGGAGAAGAACGGGUGUUAGAGUAACUGUUGACAUCGUGACGGUAUCCAACCAGAAAGCCACGGCUAACUACGUGCCAGCAGCCGCGGUAAUACGUAGGUGGCAAGCGUUGUCCGGAUUUAUUGGGCGUAAAGCGAGCGCAGGCGGUUUUUUAGGUCUGAUGUGGAAGCCUUCGGCUUAACCGGAGAAGUGCAUCGGAAACCGGGAGACUUGAGUGCAGAAGAGGACAGUGGAACUCCAUGUGUAGCGGUGAAAUGCGUAGAUAUAUGGAAGAACACCAGUGGCGAAGGCGGCUGUCUGGUCUGCAACUGACGCUGAGGCUCGAAAGCAUGGGUAGCGAACAGGAUUAGAUACCCUGGUAGUCCAUGCCGUAAACGAUGAGUGCUAAGUGUUGGAAGGUUUCCGCCCUUCAGUGCUGCAGCUAACGCAUUAAGCACUCCGCCUGGGGAGUACGACCGCAAGGUUGAAACUCAAAGGAAUUGACGGGAGCCCGCACAAGCGGUGGAGCAUGUGGUUUAAUUCGAUGCUACGCGAAGAACCUUACCAGGUCUUGACAUCUUCUGCUAACC